rnacentral:misc_RNA from 1 species
CAUUUCUUAUUUUCUGAAGAUGCUGCCAAAAACAGCAACAUAAAAGAGACAGGAGCGGAACUGCAUCUUAGAAAUUGGUUAAGAUAUGCAUCGGACCGAAAUGGGGGCCGCAGAAGGAAGUGCUGCACGGAAAACUAAUGAUAAGAAAACUGCAGUAAUAGUAGAGUCAAUGACUCACACUUUCAAACCUGCUCGUGGAGCUAAAAUCGGGCAAAAUGACAAAUUCGAGGAGAAGAUGAAGCAGCAGAAGAGAGAUGAAAUGAGAAAGAAAGCAGAAGACGUUAAAAGGAGAUUAGUGGAAGAAGAACGUAAAGAGAAGAAAGAAAAAGAUAGAUUGAAGCAAGAGAGAAGGGAAAAAAUGAUCAGAGAGAAGAGGAAAGUCUGGGAGGAACAGUUUAGCAAGAAGUCUCAGGAUGGCAAGAAGACUGCACAAGACAAAACAACGAAACAUGGAAAAGUCUCUUCUUCUGCCGACAGGAAAAGAACACACAGUAUCAGCGAGGAUGAAGCAGAUGAAGAUGUUGUAUCUGUCAAGCCGAAACCAAACCUAGAGAUACCGAACAAGCCCAAGAUUAAGAAAUUUAAUCGUCCAAUGCCGCCACACGUAACUUUUGCAGACAUUUUGAAAAUGGCAGAGCAGAUGCAGCACGAACCUGUGGAUGUUUUUAAAAAACCAAUUCAGAAAAAAAAGAAACCUGAACAACGGCCGAUGUCUCAGUUUGAAAAGGACAGGUUGGAAAGGAUAAAUAGCAAAGAAUACAAGCAUUGGGUUAAGCAUGGCAUAGGCAACCCGCCGUCUGCGGUAAAGCGUCGGUCAUCAGACGAGGACAGUUCAGAUGAUGAGAGGAAGAUGGCUAAGAAAGAUAGUGCCUCACUUUCUGCAUCCAAUUCCAGACUGUCUAUUAAUUCUGUUAGAGACCGUUCACCUGCCAUUUCAAAACCAGAACACAAAUUGGGAAUUCCGAAAAAGGAACAUUCUUCGAUGAUUUCUCAGAAAAGGCCCGUACCAGGACAUGAAAAGACAGGUCUGUCUAAACAAUCGGAGAAAACAAGUCAUAGUUCUGACAGACAUAAGGGUGGGUUUACGGUUCCGAAAAUAUCUGAUUCUAGUGGUCAGAAAAAAGUGUCACAUUCUUCAUCAUCAAACCAAGUGAGCAAAUCAUCUUCUAAUUCUGACAGUGUCUCAAAGAAAGUAGCAUCUCAUUCAAAGGAAAAUCAUUUAUCUGUGCAUGGUAAUUCAGCAGGCCAUGGUCACUCUUCUGUUAAUUCGGCAAAAUCAUCUUCAGACCAUAGACACUCUGGUACUAAUCAUGUAACAUCCACUUCAAAACACGGACAAUCUGCUAGUAAUCAUGCAAAAACCUUAUCAAGCCAUAGCCAGUCUUCGUCUAGUAGUGUAAAACCAUCUGGCCAUCCAAAAAUGCAAAGCCAGAAAUUCUCCAAUACCAAACAUGAAGUGUCUUCGGAUAAGAAAUCAUCAUCAAAGUCAUGUUUAAAUGCUGUACACAAAUAUUCUGAAAACAAGAUGGCAACGAAGUCCUUUUCAGUAUCUAAUCAGCACAAAGUAUCCAGUAGCAGAGUAGUGGAAAAUAAUCAUGGCAAACCAGUCGUUAAAACUGCUGAAAGAAAUCACAAUCACAAACAAGCUGAUGUCGGCAAUCUGGCCUCGAGGGACAAACAUUCACAAAGCAGCCAUAAUGUAAGAAUGAGCGAGAAGGAAGUUAAUAGGUUAAAGGGCAAAGGUCAAGAAUUCAAAAACAGUGAAACCAAUAAUAAGGUACACAGGGACAAAGGUAAUGUGCAUGAUUCCAAGCAUAAAAGUUUGUCUUCUGGUGACAGGAGAGAUUUGGAGAGGUCAAAGGGCAAAGGUAACUCCAGCCAUAGAAACAACUACAAUUUGAUGCAUGAGAAGGUGUUGAUUUGUGGACCUUCGUCACCGGAGGAAGAGAUGCCUAAGAAAGCUGCAGCGCCUCCGGCUAGUAACCCGUGUGAUAGAAUAUAUGGAGAGAUCAAGAAGAAAACUCCCAAACCAGGCCACGCUGACAAGACAAGUGAGGGAGAUGUGGUCAAUGCAUUCAAGGCCGGGUCUGGUGGAUCGGCAAAUCUAAAUGUGUCAGAUUCCUUGGAUUUGGACUCCGAAGAUCUCGACUUUCUUAAUGAUUCAUCCGAUGUGGUGUUGCCGGAGAAUGAGAAUGACACAGAAUCUUCAACGGUUUGUACUGUUGGUGGCGACACACAUUCAGAAUUCUCAACGGUUUAUACUGUUGGUGGCGACAGGCAUUCAGAAUCCUCAACGGUUUAUAAAGUUGGUGGCAACACACAUUCAGAAUCUUCAGCAGGUUAUACAGUUGGUGGCGACACGCAUUCAGAAUCCUCAACGGUUUAUAAAGAUGGUGGUGACACACAUUCAGAAUCCUCAACUGUUUAUAAAGGUGGUGUCACACAUUCCGAAUCUUCAAAUGUUUAUUCAUUUGGUAGUACUGGUAACAUACAUUUGGACAGUUUAGAUAAAACCGGUCUAAACAGUACAGUACAAGCAAACAGUACUUUGUUAACUUUCAGUCCAUUGACAGUGAAAUAUGACACAGAUUUGGGUUUUCAGACAGAAAAGGAGACCGAUGUUGCAGAGCAGGUGACUCAAGUGCUGAGUAUAUUCCCUGAUGCAGACAGAACAUGGGUUACCAACUGCCUGAGGAUUGAAAAGUUAUCUCACCCUGACAGUUUCGUCGAUUGUGUGUGCGAAAUUCUCAUCGACAGUCGCCAUAAGAACAGAGAAAUCAAUGGGAAAAAGAAGAAUGGGAAAAAGAGAUUACCUUCAAAGAAUUCUCCGAAAAAGAAAGUACACAGUGUGAUUGAGAAAGUGAAAAACUCACAGAAAUACGUGGAUCUGUUAUCAGAACAAGCAGAGGAAGCGAAACGCCGGAUACGACUGUUUGGUGACUCUAGUGGAUCACCUGAAAACACAGGUGCUAAACAAGCAAGAUUAGAGACUGAUAUGCAAGUCGAUUCGCCUUUUACCCCAGAAAGACAGCCUCCAAACGAGAUGACCAGUGAUGUGUCUACAACACCACCAGGCAAGCCUGAUUGCAUCGAAACAUUUGAUGAAGUUUCCAGUCAGUUUCAGUGCAAUUAUUGCGGAGCUUACAAAGAGUGCAAGGAACUAGCCCAGUGCUGUGAUGGACAUGCCGUGUGUCAAAAAUGUAUUGAACCAGAGGUCAAGGCCAUGUUUGCCAGUGAUAGCCAGGUUUGUUUUAAGCUUUGACCGUAUAUAUUUGAUUGUAUGCAUAUUGGUUCAUAUCAAUUGCCCCAUUAAUCUGUGCGAGAGUGAGAUUCCUAUUGGUGAAGCAAAGAAGAUUCUCCCGUCCAUUGUGAUAGACUUGUUCCAGGAUAAAAUGGAUAAAUAUUGCCUAGAAAGUAUC